GCUUUCGUGGUGUAAGGGUAGCACACUCGGCGAGUAUACGAGAGGUCCAGGUUCGAGUCCCGGUGACGGCA
rnacentral:tRNA from 1 species